UCCUGGCCUUUGAACUCUCGGGGAAUGGCAGGCUGAUGUGUGCACGGUGUGGGGAUCCCAGAGCAGAGCUCCAGAGGGACACAUUGUAGGACACUAUCUUACUGUGUUACCCAGGCUGUCCUGAAACCCACGAUCCUCCUGUCUCAGCCUCCCGAGUACUGGGAUUGCUGCUGGAGGCCUUUGUCAAAUGAACCACAGCCACACCCCUGUUCACUGAUCCAGAAGAACACCCCCUGCUGCAUGAGGGCUUCCUUCGAGCACUGCACCUCUGUGCCACCAGACUUGCGGGGAGAGCUCUUCACUUGGCCAUCAUUCACAAGGUCAUUGAAGUGGAAAAUGUCUCAGGACCAUGUACAGACUGUAUUUUGAGCUUCGAAAGUAUGGUGUAUCUUGCAGGGUGACUCAGCAUAUAUGGAGUUUGCUGCCAAGCUGACUACCCGAGUUCCUUCCCUCGAACGCACUUGGUGGAAGGAGAGAACUGAUUCCUGCAUGCUAUUCUUUGACCUUCACACGUGUCCUGGAGCAUGCAAACACCAUACAUACAUACAUACAUACACAUAGACAGACACAAAGUAUUUCAAAUGUAUGUUAUAGCGAGGUAUUAUGGAAAACAUACCUUCAUAUUCUAAUGAAAAUUUUUUUUAUUUUAAAAUAAAACUCUAAAGUGAAUGUAUAACCCUGGCUGUGGUAAUUACCCUUCUGAUGGGAAAUUUGUUCUCCGUGAUUCACUUACUCUGCUAGGAAUUAGUAUAAAAAGAAAUGACAGUUUAAUUGCAAGUUACAAACUAUGAUGCAAAGUCAUUAUCCUGAAAGGUUUGUGAGUCUGAGAGAGUAAAAUCUCUGGCAGCUUCCAAACUGUCAGAUCUAAUGCACGAUGAGCUGUGGAGUUAAGACAGGCAUAGAAAGGCCUCUGCACCUUCAGCACGGAAGCUUCCAUUCUGGGCACCAAUGCCAAGGACAGGAGUCAGAGACCCUGGGUGACCUGAUGAGGUAGAGGCACCCUUGGGGGGCCUCAUCUGGACCCAGCAGCUGUUAAGAUACUGAGUGCUCCCGUUCCCGUUGGUACACACCCUCUGACGUCCCUGAGUUUUCAAAGAAGCAUAUUGAUGUGCACUGUCUAUAAAGCAAAGAACAAUAGAGCCCAAUCUGAGUGUUUAGAGACAGUUGCAAUAAUAUAGGACAUUUUUGCUUAUUGCUGGAAGCGGAUCAAUAUUCGAACCUUCUGAGGAAUGUAGGAAAACUUCUUGUGUAGGUGAAGUUUCUCUGUGUCCCGGCAGCCGCUCCCAGAUGUUCAGCUGAUAGCUCAGGUGUGUUACUAGGUAACUCUUCCGUUUUGAAUUAACCCAUAUUUCUUAUCUACCCUCUGCCACAUGGCAGUACGUUCUUUCAACACAGCACAUUCAUCUUGCUUCCCUCGGCAUCUGCUCCUGACUCCUGAGACUCUGCCUUCCUCCCAGCAUCCUCUCUGACCUGAAAAUCCUGCCUACUUAUCACAAUGAGAGCAACACAAUUUCACAGUGUACAGAAGGAUGAUUCCACAGCCUUUUUGUAUUGUUAGCUUGUCUAGAGUCCCUAUUCUCAUUGAAUAUCAACCAAAAAGAUACACAAGACAGCAUCAUGCCUACUGAAGAGAGUGGGAUUUGCAUAUAUUAUUAUCAAGAGCUAAUGUACGCCUGGCUUUUGCCCACUUAGACAGAGUAAUACAAAAUAGUUUGUUUCUGUUACUGAAAAGCCAGGAUAUGAAACUAUCUCAUUGCCAGUUUCAACAGAGAGCUGAAGGCCAUGGCAGGGAUGCAGAUAUUCCGAAGCAAACAUCGUGGGUCUGGACGUGACUUUCCCACACCCAUCACGUCACAAAUUAAUUUGUGAGGAAUCACUUUGGAUCAUCUCUGUGUUUAUUUUACAUUUAUUUUUUUUAUUUUUUUUCUCUUCAACAGUCUUAUCUGGGAUAGGCAUUGCUUUCCAUUGGAGAGGGGUGGUAUAUUCUUGAUUUACCUGCAAUGUGUCCUUAGCUUGAUGAAAACCUUGCGGAUGGGGUUCGCUGGCUGUGGAUGUGAACACAGUAGAGCAAAUGCAAGAACUACCUAGUAUGAAUGGCUGAUAACCCAGUCAGCCUUCCUUCAGUCCUACCACAUCCUUGAGUUCAAAUAUCUGCAAGAUAAGGAAGGUGUGUUAUCUGGACCUCAGUCCAAUGCACCCUGAUUACAUCAUGGCCUUAAGUAACUUCAAGAUUAAGGCCUUAAGUAACUUCAAGAUCACAGGACAGCCUCAGGCUUGAGAAGCCAGACAAGCCCAGGCGCACUCAUGUGACUGGGGCAGUUUAUGGCACAGAAGACUUAAAGUGUAAGGACGUUGUUGCUGUUUUUCAGUGCUGAGGAGCAAGCCCAGAGCUUUGUGCAGGGCAGGUAAGUGCACUAAUGCUGAAAUACAUGCUCAGACCUUGGAUUUUUGAGAUAGAAUUCCAUAUAUAGCCCCUUAUGGCUUUAAGCAUGGUGUUCCACAAUGGCCCUGUGCUGGCUAGUUUUUGUGUCAAGACGACACAAACGAGAGUCAUCAGAAAGGAAGGAGCCUCAAUUAAGAAAAUGUUGCUGUAAGAUUGAGUUGUAGGCCAUUUUCUUAAUUAGUGAUCUGUGGGCGUGCUCAGCCCACUGUGGGUGUUGCCACUCUUGGGCUGAUUGUUCUGGGUUCUGUACCAAAGCAGAUUUAGCAAACCGUACAGAGCAAGCCAGUAAGCAGCUCUGCUCCGUGGCCUCUGCAUCAGCUCCUGCCUCCAGGUUCUCUCCCUGUUUGAGUUCCUGCACAGUGAUGUGAACGUAUAUGCCAAAUAAACCCUUCCCUCCACAAGUGACAUUUUCACAUAAUGUUCCAUCACAGCAGGGGAAAACCCAACCAAGACCUCAGUGCUAUAUUGUGGCCACGUGAUUAGUUUUUAAUUUAACUAUCUCCUCUAUGACAAAAAGUGCAUUAUAAUAAAACAGCCAAUUAGGAUUCUGUUUGUGUUAUUUCCCAUCAACAUUUUGGGAAGAUGGAAAUUUUGCUGAUGGUCAGAGGAAGUGGUGGUUGGUACGUUUGCAAACACCUCAUCUGAAUUAUUGGACAGAGUUAGCACAAUCUAGAUGCAUAGUGCCUUACGGGGACACAUCUCCUGUUGUCAACCACCUUAGUUAAUAUUCAGUGAAUAAAGAGAGGCGAGAUUUCCAGAGGAUGAGUUCUGUAGAUGGCUGUGAUGUCAAAGUUUGCAGGCUUUGCUUGAGUUGAGAGUCGGAAGCCAUUAUCAAUCCUUGUAGGGAGUGGAAGUGGAAGCCCCCAAGUAAGUGAAGUCCAGAGUGGAUGUGGAUUUUUACCAUGGGCACAGCACACUGAAGGCCUCAGACCCAUGGGACAGUAGGCAAAGUCAGUCCUAGUAUCAGUCAUACUGAGGAGAGGUGAGAGAACGCCCCUCAGUGGUCCCAGAAUGAGUGCUUAUCAGUGACUGCCCAGUGUGUGCAGUCGCAAGCGCAGCUCCUUCCCCCAGGUGCUCACAGCCUGAGAAUGCUCACCCAGAGAGUCCUCCUUCUGAGACCACCUAACCUCUCUCCCUCUGCUGUGCCCGCCGAGCUUCCCCAUUGUGGUGGCAGUGGCUGAAGAAUCCCCACUAACCCCAGCUUCACACAUGUGUCCUUGUGUCUGGUCAUUUUCAUUCCCUCACUACCCCAUGCAGGGUUCUGAGAACCAAGUUGCCUGGGUCAUGGCAAACCCUGAGUGAAAUCAGUCAAUGUGUGCAAGCACCGGGCUGACAAGGCAAGUUUACAGACACGGAAAGGCUUCCCGGAACAAGAGACGGUUCCUCGAUGCCCAAGCGUGUGGUGCAUCCUCGAGGACCUGGACCCAAAGAAACACUAUGUAAUUUCAGUGUGGACGGACUGAGAAAACAGCCUGUUCCAAUGCUGGCCUCUCAGACUUCGUGGUAAACUGAGGGAAGGGCAACUAUAGUUUAAAAUAUUAGGGAUGGCUUUGAUCAGUCUCUAGAGAAAAUGUAGGCAGCAAAACUCAUGUUUGAGUGCACUGUUUGGGAGACACUCCAGAGAAGAAGAGGCGAGGGAAUAGGACCAACUCUGCCGAAAAGGACCUCAAGGCAGGGCACCUCGAGUGAGCUUCCAUUUGACACCAGUGCAGCUGAGACUGUUUUGUCUCAAAGGCUAGUUUCUGAGAGCAUGCGUGAGCUAGCAACUUUAGAAAAUUAUCUUGCUUGGUCUUAACAUUUUGGGGGACACGCCCUUAAAGAAACCUAGCUUCUCUUACUUCAACAACCCAAGGAAAGCUGCAGAGGGAAGAGGUGAGCUGGAGUGGAGGCAAGGCAUGGGGGGGGGGGGGUGUUGUACAUUGCAAGCUAAUGCAAGGGAAGGUGGAAACCAAGAGGCUGUGAUAGCAACUGAUCGUGCCCACUGGAGUGGGGGCUCUGGUGCUUAUGCCUAGGCUCUCCAGAACUUGAACACCAGACCAGGGCAUGUGCUUGAAUCAAGAAAACCCAGUUCCUCCGAGGAGAGAGCCAAGGAUGGAAGCUCCCUGCAUGCUCCUUUAGGAACAAGAUGCAUAUUCAGUACUCAGGUAAGUGAUGUGGGAUGCCCUUCUGUGUGCUAUGAAAAUAUACUGCUUUUAUUGGUUGAUGAAUA